rnacentral:rRNA from 1 species
CCUACGGGUGGCAGCAGUGGGGAAUAUUGCACAAUGGGCGAAAGCCUGACGCAGCGACGCCGCGUGAGGGAUGAAGGUCUUCGGAUCGUAAACCUCUGUCAGCAGGGAAGAACGGUCACUUUGCUAAUCAGCAGUGAAUUGACGGUACCUGCAAAGGAAGCACCGGCUAACUCCGUGCCAGCACCCGCGGUAAUACGGAGGGUGCGAGCGUUAAUCGGAAUUACUGGGCGUAAAGCGGCCGUAGGCGGUAGGUCAAGUCAAGGGGGAAAUCCCCGCGCUAAACGUGGGAACUGCCUUUGAAACUGGCAAACUGGAGUGUGUGAGAGGAUAGUGGAAUUCCAGGUGUAGGAGUGAAAUGCGUAGAUAUUUGGAGGAACAUCAGUGGCGAAGGCGACUAUCUGGCACAUAACUGACGCUGAGGAGCGAAAGCGUGGGUAGCAAACAGGAUUAGAUACCCUAGUAGUC